GAUGAACGCUGGCGGCGUGCCUAAUACAUGCAAGUCGAGCGAACAGAUAAGGAGCUUGCUCCUUUGACGUUAGCGGCGGACGGGUGAGUAACACGUGGGUAACCUACCUAUAAGACUGGAAUAACUCCGGGAAACCGGGGCUAAUGCCGGAUAACAUUUAGAACCGCAUGGUUCUAAAGUGAAAGAUGGUUUUGCUAUCACUUAUAGAUGGACCCGCGCCGUAUUAGCUAGUUAGUAAGGUAACGGCUUACCAAGGCAACGAUACGUAGCCGACCUGAGAGGGUGAUCGGCCACACUGGAACUGAGACACGGUCCAGACUCCUACGGGAGGCAGCAGUAGGGAAUCUUCCGCAAUGGGCGAAAGCCUGACGGAGCAACGCCGCGUGAGUGAUGAAGGUCUUCGGAUCGUAAAACUCCGUUAUUAGGGAAGAACAAAUGUGUAAGUAACUGUGCACGUCUUGACGGUACCUAAUCAGAAAGCCACGGCUAACUACGUG
rnacentral:rRNA from 1 species